rnacentral:rRNA from 1 species
GAUGAACGCUGGCGGCGUGCUUAACACAUGCAAGUCGAACGGAGUUUACAUGUGAGCGGAGAGUGCUUGCACUUAACAAUCUUUUGUAAACUUAGUGGCGGACGGGUGAGUAACGCGUGGGUAACCUGCCGUAUGCAGGGGGACAACAGUUGGAAACGACUGCUAAUACCGCAUAAUGUUAUUUGGGGGCAUCCCCGAGUAACCAAAGAUUUAUUGCUGAAAGAUGGUCUCGCGUCUGAUUAGCUAGUUGGUGAGGUAACGGCUCACCAAGGCGACGAUCAGUAGCCGGUCUGAGAGGAUGAACGGCCACAUUGGGGACUGAGAUACGGCCCAGACUCCUACGGGAGCAGCAGUGGGGAAUAUUGGGCAAUGGGGGAAACCCUGGAUGCAGCAACGCCGCGUGAAGGAAGAAGGCCUUCGGGUCGUAAACGUUCUGUCCUUGGGAG